CAAGCAGCAACGUUGGAGGAAACCCCAACCUGUCCCUAUUGGGGUCCCUGACCGUCAUCCGGUCUCUAAAUGACAGGGAUGACAUUCUUUCUUCGGCCAUGACAUUUUAUUUAGAAGGAAGAGUGGAUGCACCUCAGACAGUUGCGGGAGGUCAUGGAAGCAUUGGGAUUGCUGGAAGCACUUAAAAAGGACCCAGCGUUGAGGGUGAUGUUUGUUGGAGGUGCUCCUGCCCCACUGACAGCAAUCACGAUGACCAACCUUUUUAAGAUGGCAUACUCUGUGGCAGGAAGCUCGCUGGCGUUUGGAGGAAGAGAAAGCUGUUGGCCACUGGAGGGACUGGCUCAUUGAUAUUGAGGGUGGAGAUGCUGUCCUGUUUGUGGAGGAUGGACUUGAGCCAGUCAAUGUGACCCUUGAAGAUGUGCUGAUGUUUGCGAAUG